CUUUGUAGUGUUGGGCUUCGGCCAAUUUCUUCGUCAUUUCUGCCGUUCGCAUUAUCCGAACCUUCUCGGUUUCGCUUCCGACGUCUCGCUCGCUUCCGUCAGUGGCCGAUCGGCCUCUCCACCCCUUCUCCUUCGAUGAAUGUGGCGAUCGGUACAUCCGCUGGAAGUACUUGGCGAGCGGCAUGGCAGCAGCCCGUCUACCUCUACCCUGAUCCCAUCCCUGAAUUCGCCAAAGCUGAGACGCGGAAGUUCGAGGACGAGCUCCGGAAAAAGCUUGUGAAGAGCAAAGAGGUCUUCAGAGACGACGUGGACGAAGUCGUGAAGAUUUGCGCGGAGCUUCUCGUGCUGCCUUUGGCUCAGAGCUCUGGCGACUUCUGACCAAGAAAAUCCCCACAUACGAUCGCCCGUUAGUUCGCCCCGGAAGACUAGAAAACGGUAAUUAGCACGGCAGAAGAAUAAAGACACGAGAAAUAAGAACCUUGAGAGCUGAUCAACCGGUAUACUUGGCCGAGCAGAAGCAUUUCCUUGGGCUUUAGCAGCUUCACCCUAGUAAUCCGGAUGCCGCUGCCAUCCUGCCUCUCAUCUGGCUGGAUGUGGAGGGUGACGAGAGCCACGUGGUAGCCCGGGUUGCUCUUCAUGACGUUGGCGGCGCUCGUCGGCCAGAGUAGCCUCUCCACCUUCCCACCAGGGUACUGGAUCACCACGGCCGUCGUAUCCACUGCCUGGCAAUUCCCCAUCCUUCUCUAUAUUGCCUUUCCCUGCAGUUGAGUAGUAAUUUAGCACACAGGAUUGAAUGGAGAAGCGUGGCAGGGAAGAAAGAAAUAGAGAAAGGAGCAUUCAACUGCAGCUGCCUUGUUUGAGUUGUCUUAUUUAAUGAGAUAGAACGAGGGAGAAUGAAAACUUCCGUCUACCUUUAAGAACCUUCCACGUGGCAUGAUGUCACUAGUGGGCCAUUAUAGUAUAAGAGCAGGUAAGCGCGCGUGUUAUACGUUGCAGGCCAUGAAGGAGAGGAAUCAUAACAUCUCCUGCAUGCAGGGGGCGUGAGAUUCUUCAUGCCAUGGGAGUGUGAAUGUCAGUGGGAGUGGCCACGUUAUACCAAGAGAAGGUAAGUAGACUGUUGUCACUGAUAGUGAUAUAACAUUGUUGGUUUCUUCACUACAGCCAGCUUAUGGAAUGGGAUAUGGAGGGCAAAGGCUGCAACUACCUUUCUGUGAUGGUCGCUUGCCCACACUUGAACAAACCUUAUCUUGAUCUGUGGCGCUAAUUAAAUUGGUGCCGUGAGCCUCAGGGGCACAUGAGUUCAGCUGCAGUAACCAAAUGGUCCAACUUGACCCACCCCUUUCUCCAGUCCAUGAUUGCCCUAUGUUGUGGCAUGAAAUCGGUGAUUAUGGUCCAUGUCCCAAAUCAUGCACACAUUCGAAAGAUAAAUGUCCGUAACAUGCUUACAUGUCAGCACCAGAAUUUGAUCAUGUUCAUCAGCAAAGAAAAUUUACUAUGGACGGCAAACUUUAAAUAAAUAAGGAAAAAGGGGACUGCACGGCAGACAGAAUGGCUUGUUGCAUGUAGAUAACCACCACCUGAGAGUUGAAGGUAUGAUGCCUUCAAACCUUCAAAUGCUAGCUUGUAUGAUAGCCCCUCAAGGAUUAUUUUUUCUUCAAAGCACUACUCUUCAGUCCAGUGUCAAUAUCCCUUCAUUUAGUUCAUAAACGGACUACACGCCAUUAAGAGGUCAUGUGAAAUGUUGGAGUUCUCACCUCAGUAGGGAAUGACCUAAACUACAUAAAUAUAUCACUAUUCUCUCUGUUCA